rnacentral:rRNA from 1 species
GACGAACGCUGGCGGCGUGCUUAACACAUGCAAGUCGAACGGAAAGGCCCUGCUUUUGUGGGGUGCUCGAGUGGCGAACGGGUGAGUAACACGUGAGUAACCUGCCCUUGACUUUGGGAUAACUUCAGGAAACUGGGGCUAAUACCGGAUAGGAGCUCCUGCUGCAUGGUGGGGGUUGGAAAGUUUCGGCGGUUGGGGAUGGACUCGCGGCUUAUCAGCUUGUUGGUGGGGUAGUGGCUUACCAAGGCUUUGACGGGUAGCCGGCCUGAGAGGGUGACCGGCCACCUUUGGACUGAGAUACGGCCCAGACUCCUACGGGAGGCAGCAGUGGGGAAUAUUGCACAAUGGGCGGAAGCCUGAUGCAGCAACGCCGCGUGCGGGAUGACGGCCUUCGGGUUGUAAACCGCUUUCGCCUGUGACGAAGCGUGAGUGACGGUAAUGGGUAAAGAAGCACCGGCUAACUACGUG